UGGGAACAUACCUUUUGGUUCGGAACAACACAGGGAAACUUGUGCUAAUACCGGAUAAGCCCUUACGGGGAAAGAUUUAUCGCCGAAAGAUUGGCCCGCGUCUGAUUAGCUAGUUGGUGGGGUAAUGGCCCACCAAGGCUACGAUCAGUAGCUGAUCUGAGAGGAUGAUCAGCCACACUGGGACUGAGACACGGCCCAGACUCCUACGGGAGGCAG
rnacentral:rRNA from 1 species